AUUGUUGCUCUUUUAAAACAAUUUUGUAAGAAAAACAGCAAGCUAAGAGUGUGUUUUAUAAAUUUUAGCUUCAAACUAAAAAGGGAAAAAAAAAAAAACAAUUAUAGUGUUUGAUAAGUAAUUAUUAUAUUGUUGAGGUUUAGGUUGUAAUAAUUACUAUCACCAGAUUCACAACUACUAACAUAAACUAAGACAUAAUAAUGUUGUGGUACUUUUUAGUUUGUUUGAGAAUGGAUUAUUAUUCAAAUAUGUGAAGUUUUAGUAGGAGAAAACCCACCAUGGAAUUUUUCUUUGGCUCUAAAUUGGUUUGUUACAGCUUAAAAUGAAACUAUACUUAGGAAAAGAAAACUGAAGUUAGAGAAAUAAAUGGAAUAAAAAGUAAAAAAAUAGAAAAGAAAGAGAAAAGGGUGCUGAUUUCCACGUAAGAAGUAACGUAAAGGAACGGAAGCAAUCAGCACUGUGGAUAAGAACGUGGAGUGUGACGUCACCAACUUCUGCAACAUCCGAUUAAUCCUUUUUCACUCUCUUUCUUUAUGUCUUUAACCCUAAACUCCAAAUUCCAAAUUCCAAAUCCUACCCCUAAAAUAAACCACUUUGUUUAUUGAUCUUCUUCUUCCCAUUUCCAAUGACGUUGGAGCUUUUCGUCUUGUGCUGCACUGCCGUUGUGGUCUUCCUCCAUGGAGCUAAUUUCUUCUUCCACGCUCUCUUCCACCAUUUCACCGUCCUCCGAUCUCUCAGUUUCUUGGGUGCGAUUGGAAUGUGGUAGGAAUUGGAGAAGGGGAGUGGUGGAUCGUUUAAUCGGAGAUUGAACGCCAGAUUGGACUCUGUAUAUAUCCGACAUUCUGAUUUUUAAUUUGUUAUCUAGAUUUACUCUUUGAUCAUAAUUUAAUUCCCAUGAAUAAAUUAAUUAAUUAAUUAAA